AGAGGGGCCAAGCGCAGGGCCUGGCAGGGGUGGGCAGCAGAGCCAGGGGCCCAGGGCCUCCAGCACCCCCAUGCCCUCUGGGAUGGAAAUGGCUUUUCAAGUGAUACAGUCCCCGGCCCCUCAACGCCGGGCAGUCAGGCCUGGCACCCAAAAUGCUCAUGCCUGCCGUGCCCCCACCUCAGCUUUCAGGGACCCCCAGGGAGGGGGCUUCCUGUGCAGAAAUCACAAGGGGAAGGCUGCCCUCGGAGACCCCAGCGGGUUCAGUUAUCUGGGGUCAGAAACAUUAAAUGGAAAAUUGGAGAAAUAAAGAAUUCAUACGUUUUAAGUCGCAUGCUGUUCUGAGUACCUCACUUCAUCUCAUCACUUGGGUAUCGCCUCAUCUCACAUCAUCACAGGAAGAAGGGAGACACUAAAAUAACAAGAGGCUUGCGCCUACCCAUAAAAGCCCCCCUGCAUGCGACAGCCACAAUGCAGACUGAUAAAGAGAACGUCAAGUUGGCAACUCAGACACCACAAGUAGCGCUGACGUUACGUGCGUAAUUUUUCGGUAAGCUUCUGAACAAGAGGAAGGGCAGUCUUCCUCCGAUUUACAGGGACGUUAUAUUUCUAGCAACUUCAGCGUACAUUAAAAUUCAGAG